rnacentral:rRNA from 1 species
GAGGAAGUAAAAGUCGUAACAAGGUUUCCGUAGGUGAACCUGCGGAAGGAUCAUUAAUGAAUUUUGAAAGGGGUUGUUGCUGGCCUUUUCGUUUGAGAGGCAUUUUGUGCACGCCCUGAUCAUUCUCCAUUUCAUACACCUGUGCACACACUGUAGGUCGGUUUGCGAGGCGGAGCCUUCAUUGGCGUAGCUUUGUGGGCCUUCCUAUGUUUUAUCACAAACUACUGUUUAAAGAAUGUCUACUGCGUGUAACGCAUUUAAAUACAACUUUCAGCAACGGAUCUCUUGGCUCUCGCAUCGAUGAAGAACGCAGCGAAAUGCGAUAAGUAAUGUGAAUUGCAGAAUUCAGUGAAUCAUCGAAUCUUUGAACGCACCUUGCGCUCCUUGGUAUUCCGAGGAGCAUGCCUGUUUGAGUGUCAUGGAAUUCUCAACUCCAUUCGCUUUUGUGAAUGGAGCUUGGACUUGGAGGUUAUUGCCGGACUUUAUUGUUUCGGCUCCUCUUGAAUGCAUUAGCUCGAGCCUUUGUGGAUCAGCUUCGGUGUGAUAAUUGUCUACGCCGUUCUGUGAAGCAUACAUAAUGGGUUUCGGCUUCCAAUCGUCCUUUGCGGGACAAUACACUAUGACCUUUGACCUCAAAUCAGGUAGGGUUACCCGCUGAACUUAAGCAUAUC